rnacentral:rRNA from 1 species
GGGGGGGGCAAGCGUUGUUCGGAAUUACUGGGCGUAAAGGGCUUGUAGGCGGCCAACUAAGUCAGACGUGAAAUCCCUCGGCUUAACCGGGGAACUGCGUCUGAUACUGGAUGGCUUGAGAUUGGGAGAGGGAUGCGGAAUUCCAGGUGUAGCGGUGAAAUGCGUAGAUAUCUGGAGGAACACCGGUGGCGAAGGCGGCAUCCUGGACCAACACUGACGCUGAGGAGCGAAAGCCAGGGGAGCAAACGGGAUUAGAUACCCCGGUAGUCCUGGCCCUAAACGAUGAAUGCUUGGUGUGACGGGUAUCGAUCCCUGUCGUGCCGAAGCUAACGCAUUAAGCAUUCCGCCUGGGGAGUACGGUCGCAA